rnacentral:lncRNA from 1 species
GUUUGAUUUUCUUGCCCCUGAGACAAGUUAGUUAGUAACUUAAGGAGUGUAUCAUUGUCUACAGAUGUACCUGAAGCAUUUGGGGCAGAUUGUUAUGGAAAAUGUGGGGGUGCGUAUGGCUUGGUGAAAAACCCCGGGGGUUGUUGCCUAAAGCCUCCUUGUUGUUGGGGUUGUUGGGCCUCCCUCCACUUGAAGUUUGGAUGGUCUCUCCAACCUGGAUUAUAUGUGUUCGAAUAUGGAUCAUUCCUCGGUUGGUUUUGGCCUUGAAACCCAAUUGCGUUAGCGCUCUCCCAUACACCAUUCUCAAUGAGUUAAGGGCAUUUUUCCGAGGCAUGUCCUUGGAUAGAACAUAUGCCACACACCAUUGGCCCUUGCAUUCUCAUUCCUUCAGCCAUCUGAGACACAAUGGAAGUAAGAUUAGCUAAUUGUGAAUGAAUGUCGGAUGUGGAACUUACCUCAUGCACUUGUUGCCGUGGGGGUCCUCUUUGGCCAACGCCUUCGUAUUGUUGAGCGUUCAAUGCUCGAUUAGCAAUCAAGAUCUUGGCAGCCAUGGGUGUUUUGUCCACCAAUGCUCCAUCCACCGAGGCAUCGAGCAUUUGACGUUCAAGUGGUAGGAGCCCCUCGUAAAAGUAUUGUAGAAGUAACUCCUCCUUCAUCUGAUGCUGUGGACAAGAAGCAACAAGUGAUUUAAAACGUUCAUAAUAAGUAGGAAAAGACUCACCUUCUUCUUGCUGAAUACCACUAAUCUUUUUACGUAGGAGAAUGAUUCGAGAAGUUGGGAAAAACUUCUCCAAAAAUGCCCUCUUCAUACUUUCCCAAGAUGUGACAGUUCCAGGAGCUAACUCGUACAACCAAUCUUUGGCUUUAUCCAUUAAAGAGAAUGGAAAAGCCUUCAUCUUCAAAAUACUUCCGUCGACGUUAACCGGAGUCAUGCUUGAACACACCACUUCAAAUUCUUUUAAAUGCUUGUUCGGAUCCUCUAUGGACAGCCCAUGGUAUUUUGGAAUAUGGUGGAGCAAAAUUGACUUUAACUCGAACUCUUCAAUCUUACCUUGCGCAGCCGUGGGAUAUUGGAUACACAAAGGUGCGGCAUUAUCUAAUCCCGAAGCGGCGAGCUCCUUGAGUGUUCGGUUGUCCAUGGCCAUGUCUUGCACUACUUCUCCCACUUGUGCCAUGGGUAUCUCCUCCUCUUCUGGAACUUGUUCUUCAAGGUUAGGUUCCCGGCUAAGUGGGUUGGACUCUUGUUGGUUCCUUCUUCGUCUCAAAGUUCUCUCAAAAUCGUCGUCAAAGUCCAAAAUAUGCUCACGAACAGGGCGGGAACUUCGAGUCAUGCACUAGUACCUUAAAAACAAAGAAGCAAAACAAGGUCAGAAACUUCAACAAAAUAAAUGAAUGAAAAGAAACAAUCAAAGGGAUUAGCAAAGUUGCUAAUCCCCGGCAACGGCGCCAAAAAUUUGAUGCGAAAUAUAUAAGCACACAAAUUAAACCCUCUUUUUAUCAAAUGUAGUAAAGUAUGUAAGUAGGGAUCGUUCUAGGCCGGGGAUUAGGAGGGAUUGCUAAAUCACUUGGAAACUGACUUGAAAACGUAAAAACAAAGUUUAAAACACUAAACUAGACUCAAAGAAUGCAAAACUAUACUUUAAAAUACUAAGAUAAACAAAAAGAUUCAAAACAGCAACCAAAGACUUAAAACUGCCUUAAAAACACUUUCUGUGCAGUUUUGGGACUCUAACACAAACUUGGACGAAUUUUGGUUUUCUAAUGAACUAAAACACUUAAAAACAUAAUCUAAGACAAGUCCUAAUUAAUAUGACUCAAAGAAAUAAGAUGGGGUUGAUUUUGGACGAAAAUAAUUAAAUUAAGACAAGAACAAAGUAAACAGAUUCUUAGACAAAUUUGGGUGAAUCAAAACACUUAAAAACACAAACUAAAGUGAUUACUAACUAAUCUAACACUUUGAAAUAAAUGGGAGAUUGGUUCUUGACGAAUUUGAAAACAAAACAAACUUUGUAAAACAAAACAGAUUGUAAAUGAAUUUGAAUGAAACUUAUGGAUGGAAGGCUAGCUAGGAGGUUCUUCUCCACACAUGUCACACUUGCAUACAAAACGAUUUCCAGUUGCUUUUCGAUAAACUAUGAAUACUCAACGCCCCAAAUUAACCUUGAAUUACACUAAUUAACCCUUAGUUUUUCCACAAGUUAUUGGGUUGGAUGAUUGCAUACGACAACCCAAAACAUUCCCUACAAGUUCCCUACAUGAAUUGCAUAAUAGAGAUACAAGCAAGAAUCAUUAAGUUCUAUGAAAAACAUAAGCAUUGACGAGGCACUCGUUACUAUGAUUUGCAUGAAACUUAUGCCAAUAAUUUACUUAACGUGAUUGUGACUAGCAACCUUCACUACUUGUGAAUAUAAGUUCAUAACGAUUAGGUGAAACUCCCUUAUAUUCUAGCGUCAAAUUCAUGCAUGAAAAUUAAGCGUGCACUCUCAACCAACAUACACAAAUCAGUUUUUAUACGAACGGAUAAGUAAAUUGAAUUCACAACUUAUGAAUCACAACUGGAUGUAAUUAAAUCAUAUUGCAAGCAUGAACAUAGUUUCGAAUCACCCCCUAACUAAGAGGGGUUUAGUUCCUCAUACUCACAAAGCAAAGAUGCAUAAAUUUAGACAUUAAUAACAAAGAUAGAAAACACCUAGAAACGCUCCAACACUCCCAAGGCUUGGGCUUAGGCACGUCACCAGGUUUCUUCUUCUUUCUCUUUCCUUGCAAGCUGCGGCACUAGAGGUUUUGGACAGGUUUUGGGUGGUUUUUAUGGUGUAGAAUGGUAUGGAAAUGUUUAGGGUUGAUGGGUGGUGUGGCUAGGGGUGAUUUUUGGCUGAAUUUGGAGAGAAUGGUGGUGGAAAACUCACGGCAAGGAGAAAGGAUAAAAUCUGUUAUGGUUGAUGAAUAUGGGAGGUGGUAUUUAUAGGUUUGAGAGAUGACCACUCCAUUUCCUUUGCAUGUGCAGCUUGUGUGGGUGUGAGUUGUCAUGUUUCCCCUUUACAUUUACAUACACAUGCUUCAUCAUUUCAAUCACCAAACAUCCACAUUUCUGCCCAUGCCAUGUGCUCCAUGUGUAUGCUUUCUUUGCCAUGUGUUUGCUGCCAUGUUCUUUGCUUUGCCAUUACACUUGCACACACACAUGCUUCAUCAUUUCCACCACCAAACACCCACAAUUUCUGCCCAUGUCGUGUGCUCCCAUGUGUGUGCUGCAACAUAUUUUUCUUUGUCAUGUGUUUGCUGCAACAAGGGGUUUAUUUAAAGGGAUAAAGGAAAUAAAACCCUAGGUUAACUAGGUAAACAGAAAUUAAGUCUAAGGCUUCUACAAUUUAGGGAAACAAAUCAGAAAUUUAAAGGAAAUAAGCUAAAAGGUGUGGCAAGGCUUUAAAGUAGAUUAGGAAAGUGUUUAAAUGCAAGAUUUAGGAAAGAAUGACUCUUCCUUGCACGGCAAGGAAGAGUAAUGGCAAGGGUGAAGCACACGGCUGGUUGCUUAUUUUUGAACACUUCGUUCUUUAUUUGUCUUGAAUCCAAUUCUUCACAUCAUCAUUCAAUCCUAUGCUCAUUUGAUCUUCAAUUUCGUCCAUCUUCUUACCUCCAAGCAUAUGCAAUCCAUUUGAUGCACAAAAACUGCUCCAAACGACUCCAAAAUGCACAUGUAUGCAUACUUUGUCCUUAAAACCUGAAAACACAUAAAAGUGACUUUAAACACUAAAAUAACUAAAGAAACACAACGUAAACGUACGAGAACAAGUCAAUUAAGUCGCAUAAAAAUGCUCCUAUCACUUCACUUUCAAUUAAUACGAAGGCCGAUUGUGAUAAACCCUGUGCUUGUUGAAUAUGCAGGUUGUAAUUAACAAGGUGAAGAUAAUAUUGUUGGAUAGUGGCCAAAUUAGUGGCCAAGUGACCAAAAGCAUAUAAUAAAAAAUGAAGGACAUAACGAUGUGGGAACAUCAUUAUGAGGAGAAAAAUGGUUAUGUUUGUUGAAAAGAAAAAGGAAGGUCAUGAUGAUGUUUGUAAAGGAAUGAUUAUUCCUUUACUUUGGAUUUUUUAUUGGGUGCUUUUGUAUGGAUGAAGGUUGUAGCCGAAUGAGUGAGAGAAGGUAGAGUCUUUUGGUUAUAUUAAGGCAUUCGAUUAUGCCUUUGGUUGAGUGGGGGGAGCGGCAUAAGAUGAGAGCCAUACCAGGGAGAACAUUCGGCUCUCCCAUUUGAAAUAGUGUUGCUCCUUCCCAUUUGUUUGUAAUCUCCUCUUGUUAGUAAUCCCUCAAUCAAAAAUAUUGCUGCUACAUGUUGUGUAGCUUUUGGGAGAGAUGGUAUUUGAUGUGUGUCCAUCUUCUCCAAUUGUUCUUUGUGAGAGCGAGAGCUAUUGGGUGUAUGUGGGAUUUGGGUUUGAGAGUUAAAACUCUAUUUGUAAUCUCCUUUUGAUAUUAGUGGAAUUUCUUCACCUUCUCGGAACUGAACGUAGGCUUACGCCGAACCAGUAUAAAUCCUUGUGUCAUUUGGAUUAUUUGUCUUAUCAUAUUUUGCCGUUGUAGCUUAUUGGUUUCAUAUUUGACGCUUCCGCACAAUAAGUGGUAUCAGAGCUCCGGAUUUCGACUUAGGGGUUUUGUACCAGUAUGUAUAUGAAACCUUCGAAUAUGUUGGUGAAAUAUGAUAUUGAAAAUUUUGACGGGAGUAAUGACUUUGGCAUUUGGUCAAUUGGAGAUACAAGUUUUGCUUGCAUUGCUGCGAAAUGCGUGGCGUUGAAGAAGGAUGGUAAGGGACCAUGUUGCAGUCCCUGAGCCCAUAGAUUGGAGAAUGGUUCCGGAAAUAGUAUAUCUGCUGCAAUGUUAUUGAAGUGUUGAUGUUCGAAUGCUGCAGGUGUAGUGUACUGUUUUGGUAGAUUCUCCGUUGGUCAUCGCUGCACCGGCGGUGUUUGUGGGCUGUUGUCGACGAGUUGAGUGGGUAGGAGAAAAAGUAGAAGCUGUUGAGAAUUGAAAAGAAAAUGUUGGUUCCUUUUCUUUCGGCAUUUGUUUUGGCAGAAGGACAUCAUGAUGACAAAUGAUGUUGUUGGCUGAAAAAAAAAAAAAAAAAAAAAAAAAAAAAAAGGGUUAAGUUUUCUUCUCUUUGGCAUUUUUUCAAUGGCAGAGAAUUUUUUUUCUUCACUCCCACUAGUUGCCUUUGGAGCAAGUUAAUGGAAACAUUGGAGGAGUUUGUGAGGGCCAAUUUGUUGAGUUCUGCAAGUUUGGAUAGUAAGGCACCACACUAUUUUGAAUACACCCCAUGCACUGCAAAACAUUUGUGUGGAACCCUCUUGUAGAAGGCAAGUUAUAUGCUUUCUAACUUUGUUUGGUCUAUGGACAUUUAGUUGGAUUUGUUUGCCACUGCUAUUUGGUUUGUUGGUCUCUAGCAUCUGAAAUAUGCUUUGUUGAAGACUCUAGUUAAGGUAUGGCUUAGGAUCUCCUACUGAUUAUUUGAAGUUGAAAUAUUUGGUUAUCCUAUUAGUGCUCAUGCGAUGAUGGUAAACUUGAGUGAAGGGCAUAAUAUUGAUAUUCAUAGGAUCUGAAUUUGGGUAAAAGGUUUUGUAUGUGGUAUGUUAAACCUUGUUGCUAAAUUUUGUAAUCAAUUUUGACUUGGAGAAUGUGCCAUGCUACGUGAAUGAGUCUAUUGGUGCAAUUUAAGACCAUGGUGUUUGUGAGCAGGUGGAGUUCGUUGUGUGUCCAACUUUGGUAUGGUGUGCUUGAUCUUUUGUCGGUGAUAUUGAAGAAUUUCAGUUCUUUGUUUGAAUCACCUUUUUUUUAUCAAGGCACUUAUAGUUUGCAAAUUUGAAGAAGACGGUAGAGAAAUUGUCUACUUUUGUUGGCUUUGGUACAAUUUGAGUCGAGGUGGAGAUCAUAAUAGUACCGGAAAGUUUGGGGAAUUUGAUUUAGUUCCCAUUGUCUUUAGUUUGUACUUUGGGUGCUUAUGGUGAUUGUUGAUUCGAUUCUUUGUGAUGUUUUCGGAAUUUGGCCAAGGUGGAUAUUGUUGGAUAGUGGCCAAAAGCAUAUAAUAAAAAAUGAAGGACAUAAUGAUAUGGGAACAUCAUUAUGAGGAGAAAAAUGAUUAUGUUUGUUGAAAAGAAAAAGGAAGGUCAUGAUGAUGUUUGUAAAGGAAUGAUUAUUCUUUUACUUUGGAUUUUUUAUUGGGUGCUUUUGUAUGGAUGAAUGUUGCAGCCGAAUGAGUGAGAGAAGGUAGAGCCUUUUGGUUAUAUUAAGGCAUUCGAUUAUGCCGUUGGUUGAGUGGGGGGAGCGGCAUCAGAUGAGAGCCGUACCAAGGAGAGUGUUCGGCUCUCCCAUUUGAAAUAGUGCUGCUCCUUCCCAUUUGUUUGUAAUCUCCUCUUGUUAGUAAUCCCUCAAUCAAAGAUGUUGCUGCUACAUGUUGUGUAGCUUUUGGGAGAGAUGAUAUUUAAUGUGUGUCCAUCUUCUCCAAUUGUUCUUUGUGAGAGUGAGAGUUAUUGGGUGUAUGUGAGAUUUGAGUUUGAGAGUUAAAACUCUAUUUGUAAUCUCCUUUUGAUAUUAGUGGAAUUUCCUCGCCGUCUCGGAACUGAACGUACGCUUACGCCGAACCAGUAUAAAUCCUUGUGUCAUUUGGAUUAUUUAUCUUAUCAUAUUUUGCCGUUGUAGCUUAUUGGUUUCAUAUUUGACGCUUCCGCACAACAAAUAUUGGUGUUGUUAAAAGUGGAUCUUUCAUCGUCUAUCUAAUAAUUUGACAUGUGGAAGUGGCUCUGGACCUCCGGUAAGUACAAUCUGAUCUCCGUUUAAGUUAAAAGUAAAAACAAACUCGCGGGAAAAGCAGAGCGCCACUGCCGCGUGCUCCCGCCUGGGUUUACCGUUAUUAAAGGUUUUCCGAAGGGCUGUUCUGACUUUUCACCCAUUUAACGAUCACAGUUAUCUACGCCAUAAAUCCCGAGUUGCGUCCCUCAAGAGCUUUCCUCCCAGAACUGACCACUGCAUGAAAAUUCUGAAUAGAUGAGGUGGAGUCUCACACGUCUGUGCCACCAUCAGCCCGUACAACCAUCCAUGUCCGCCCACGUGUCGCGACAAUCGGAUAACUCCAUACCUGCCACGUUAUCAUCACCUCCACCUGCAAGUCCACUGUCAGUCACUGCUAUAUGACCGCAUCUCAUUCACCCCCAGCCACCGCAACGGCAAUACGCAGCACCAUGGGCCAGGAAAACGACACCCACUUCAACCUCGUUGGGUUCUCCAACUUCGUCCGGACGAACCCCCGGUCCGACCGGUUCAGGGUCCACCGGUUCCACCACGUCGAGUUCUGGUGCACCGACGCCACCAACGCCGCCCUCCGAUUCUCCUGGGGACUCGGCAUGCCCAUGGUAGCUAAGUCCGACCUCUCCACCGGCAAUCAAACCCAUGCCUCCUACCUUCUCCGCUCCGGCGACCUCAAUUUCCUCUUCACCGCCCCGUACUCCCCCACCCUGACCCGAACCGCCGACCCGGCCCGGCCCAGCAACUCCAGCGCCUCCAUCCCCACCUUCGACCACACCGCCUCCCGCGCCUUCUCUGCCACCCACGGCCUCGGCGUCCGCGCCGUCGCCAUCCAAGUCGAAGACGCCGUCUCCGCCUUCACCACCAGCGUCGCCCACGGCGCCAAACCCUCGGCCGCCCCCAUCCUCCUCGACAACCGCGUCACCAUCGCGGAAGUCCAACUCUACGGCGACGUUGUUUUGCGGUACGUCAGCUACUCGGACCACAACCACCUCACAGAUCCGGACCCCAACCUCUGGUUCCUCCCCGGAUUCGAACCCCUACCGUCGUCGUUUCCAAUCGACUUCGGAAUCCGCCGCCUCGACCACGCCGUCGGCAAC